CUCCAUCUGAUUUGGGCUUUUUGUUGCUUCCUGGCUUUUUGUUAGAUCUCUUCCUCUUCUUUCCAAUUACGCAUUUUGGCUUGGAGCUAGCAAUUGCUGCAUGAGCAUGGCCACCCUUACCCUUGAGACCACUUUCCACAUUUUGCAACUCAUUCAUCAACUCGGUUAAUGGCAUAUUCAUCUUGUGCAAGUGAUAGUCCACAGUAAACUGUGAAAACAUAUCAGAUAAAGAAUUCAACACAAUAUUAACUUGAGUUUCCUAAUCAAUAGUUGCACCCAAAUUCUUCACUACGUUGAAGUGUGCAAUCACAGUCAACAUAUGAUCUUUCACAGGCGUUCCAGGUUUCAUGCGGAUGUUCUAUAAGGUACGAAUGACCUCAAAGCGAGCCCUCCUACUUUGAUGUCCAAACAUGCCCUUCAGGCUUUUUAAUAUGUCAUAAGAGGUCUCCUGACUUUCAAGCUUUUGCUGUAACACGUUUGACAUGAAUACCAAAAUGUAACAGCGAGCCAUCUUGUCAGUAGCGAUCCACUUAUCAUACGCAUCCCUCUUAGACUUGCUUGUAGUCUUGGUAGGUUCCUCGGGACAUUCUUCUUCGAGCACAAAACCAAAUUUUUC
rnacentral:lncRNA from 1 species